rnacentral:rRNA from 1 species
UACGGAGGGUGCAAGCGUUGUCCGGAAUCACUGGGCGUAAAGGGCGCGUAGGCGGCUCAUGAAGGCUGUGGUGAAAGUCCGGGGCUCAACCUCGGAUCGGCCGUGGCGACUCGUGGGCUGGAGCACUGUAGAGGCGGGUGGAAUUCCGGGUGUAGCGGUGGAAUGCGUAGAGAUCCGGAAGAACACCAGUGGCGAAGGCGGCCCGCUGGGCAGUGGCUGACGCUGAGGCGCGACAGCCGUGGGGAGCAAACAGG